rnacentral:rRNA from 1 species
AACGACUCUCGGCAACGGAUAUCUUGGCUCUCGCAUCGAUGAAGAACGUAGCGAAAUGCGAUACUUGGUGUGAAUUGCAGAAUCCCGUGAACCAUCGAGUCUUUGAACGCAAGUUGCACCCGAGGCCAUUAGGUCGAGGGUACACCUGCCUGGGCGUCACGC